rnacentral:rRNA from 1 species
UACGGAAGGGGCUAGCGUUGUUCGGAAUUACUGGGCGUAAAGCGCGCGCAGGCGGUCUUCCAAGUCAGUGGUGAAACGCCCGGAGCUCAACUCCGGAACUGCCAUUGAAACUGUGAGACUUGAGGAUGAGAGAGGUGAGUGGAAUUCCCAGUGUAGAGGUGAAAUUCGUAGAUAUUGGGAAGAACACCGGUGGCGAAGGCGGCUCACUGGCUCAUUUCUGACGCUCAGGCGCGACAGCGUGGGGAUCAAACAGG